rnacentral:tRNA from 1 species
UCCCGUGUGGCUCAGUUGGUAGAGCAUGGUGCUUGCAAUGCCAGGACUGUGGGUUGAAUUCCUGCUGGGAC